UGCGCCUUGCCAGCCCGCUCAGAAACUCAAAGGAAUUGACGGGGGCCCGCACAAGCGGUGGAGUAUGUGGUUUAAUUCGAUGAUACGCGAGGAACCUUACCUGGGCUCAAAUGUAUGUUGACGUAUUCUGAAAGGGAUACUUCUUCGGACAAUAUACAAGGUGCUGCAUGGUUGUCGUCAGCUCGUGCCGUGAGGUGUCGGGUUAAGUCCCAUAACCGAGCGCAACCCCUAUCAUUAGUUGCCAUCAGGUCAAGCUGGGGACUCUAAUGAAACUGCCUACGCAAGUAGUGAGGAAGGUGGGGAUGACGUCAAAUCAGCACGGCCCUUACGUCCAGGGCUACACACGUGCUACAAUGGUCGGUACAAAGGGUUGCCAAGCCGCGAGGUGGAGCUAAUCCCAUAAAACCGAUCGUAGUCCGGAUCGCAGUCUGCAACUCGACUGCGUGAAGUCGGAAUCGCUAGUAAUCGUGAAUCAGAAUGUCACGGUGAAUACGUUCCCGGGCCUU
rnacentral:rRNA from 1 species